rnacentral:rRNA from 1 species
CACGUAGUUAGCCGUCCCUUUCUGGUAAGCUACCGUCACAGUGUGAACUUUCCACUCUCACACCCGUUCUUGACUUACAACAGAGCUUUACGAUCCGAAAACCUUCUUCACUCACGCGGCGUUGCUCGGUCAGGGUUGCCCCCAUUGCCGAAGAUUCCCUACUGCUGCCUCCCGUAGGAGUCUGGGCCGUGCCUCAGUCCCAGUGUGGCCGAUCACCCUCUCAGGUCGGCUAUGUAUCGUCGCCUAGGUGAGCCAUUACCUCACCUACUAGCUAAUACAACGCAGGUCCAUCUUGUAGUGGAGCAAUUGCCCCUUUCAAAUAAAUGACAUGUGUCAUCCAUUGUUAUGCGGUAUUAGCUAUCGUUUCCAAUAGUUAUCCCCCGCUACAAGGCAGGUUACCUACGCGUUACUCACCCGUUCGCAACUCAUCCAAGAAGAGCAAGCUCCUCUCUUCAGCGUUCUACUUGCAUGUAUUAGGCACGCCGCCAGCGUUCGU